UACGUAGGUGGCAAGCGUCAUCCGGAUUUAUUGGGCGUAAAGCGAGCGCAGGCGGUUUUCUAAGUCUGAUGUGAAAGCCUUCGGCUUAACCGAAGAAGUGCAUCGGAAACUGGAUGACUUGAGUGCAGAAGAGGGCAGUGGAACUCCAUGUGUAGCGGUGGAAUGCGUAGAUAUAUGGAAGAACACCAGUGGCGAAGGCGGCUGCCUGGUCUGUAACUGACGCUGAGGCUCGAAAGCAUGGGUAGCGAACAGG
rnacentral:rRNA from 1 species